rnacentral:rRNA from 1 species
UACGUAGGGGGCGAGCGUUGUCCGGAUUUAUUGGGCGUAAAGAGCGUGUAGGCGGUUCGGUAAGUCUGUCGUGAAAUCCUGGGGCUCAACCCCGGGCGUGCGAUGGAUACUGCCGGGCUAGAGGAUGGUAGAGGCGAGUGGAAUUCCCGGUGUAGCGGUGAAAUGCGCAGAUAUCAGGAGGAACACCGGUGGCGAAGGCGGAUCUCUGGGCCUUACCUGACGCUGAGGCGCGAAAGCUAGGGGAGCAAACAGG